AGUGAACGCUGGCGGUAGGCCUAACACAUGCCAGUCGAACGGCAGCACAGUAAGAGCUUGCUCUUACGGGUGGCGAGUGGCGGACGGGUGAGGAAUACAUCGGAAUCUACUUUUUCGUGGGGGAUAACGUAGGGAAACUUACGCUAAUACCGCAUACGACCUACGGGUGAAAGCAGGGGAUCUUCGGACCUUGCGCGAUUGAAUGAGCCGAUGUCGGAUUAGCUAGUUGGCGGGGUAAAGGCCCACCAAGGGGACGAUCCGUAGCUGGUCUGAGAGGAUGAUCAGCCACACUGGAACUGAGACACGGUCCAGACUCCUACGGGAGGCAGCAGUGGGGAAUAUUGGACAAUGGGCGCAAGCCUGAUCCAGCCAUACCGCGUGGGUGAAGAAGGCCUUCGGGUUGUAAAGCCCUUUUGUUGGGAAAGAAAAGCAGCAGGUUAAUACCCCGCUGUUCUGACGGUACCCAAAGAAUAAGCACCGGCUAACUUCGUG
rnacentral:rRNA from 1 species